UGGGGAAUAUUGCACAAUGGGCGCAAGCCUGAUGCAGCCAUGCCGCGUGUAUGAAGAAGGCCUUCGGGUUGUAAAGUACUUUCAGCGAGGAGGAAGGCGUUGUGGUUAAUAACCGCAGCGAUUGACGUUACUCGCAGAAGAAGCACCGGCUAACUCCGUGCCAGCAGCCGCGGUAAUACGGAGGGUGCAAGCGUUAAUCGGAAUUACUGGGUGUAAAGCGCACGCGGGCGGUCUGUCAAGUCGGAUGUGAAAUCCCCGGGCUCAACCUGGGAACUGCAUCCGAAACUGGCAGGCUAGAGUCUUGUAGAGGGGGGUAGAAUUCCAGGUGUAGCGGUGAAAUGCGUAGAGAUCUGGAGGAAUACCGGUGGCGAAGGCGGCCCCCUGGACAAAGACUGACGCUCAGGUGCGAAAGCGUGGGGAGCAAACA
rnacentral:rRNA from 1 species